AUCAAUGUUUUCAUAACUUUAAAAUGUUUGUAUUCUUAUCAGUUUAAUAUCUGAUACGUCCCCUAUCUGGGGACCAUAUAUUAAAUGGAUUUUUGGAACAGGGAGAUGGAAGAAGAGCUUGCUCUGUCCACUCCAUGCACUGACCUGGUAUUGCAGUACCUCCAGGACCGGUGCACUUCUC
rnacentral:snRNA from 1 species